ACGACGCCCGUGCCAUUUGGAAUGUGGGCCCGUGCCUCUCAGGGUGUUGACUGACACCCCAUUUCCACAAGCUACACGGCACUGCUGCCGCUGAAGCAACAUAUCUGUGUGUCUCUGGCGGCUCCGAUGAGACAAUCCGUUACGCACUGCGAUGUACCGAAUGGAAGAUUUGAAGGUCUCUGGAGAAGGCGCUGCACAUUAGCAGUCUAAGCCAGACGGAAUGCUCAUCCCGUGCAUCGCUUCCCAAGAUCCUCAGAUUUAGGAUACUUGUUUUGUUGUGGAUUUGUUUAAGAUC